CGCAUCUGUGCAUGCAGCAUAUCAAUAAGCGGAGGAAAAGAAACUAACAAGGAUUCCCCUAGUAACGGCGAGUGAAGCGGGAAGAGCCCAAAUUUGAAAUCUUAAAGGGUUUCCCUUUACGAAUUGUAGUUUAAAGAAGUGUUUUCUGUUGAGGUUUUGGUAAAAGUUCUUUGGAAUAGGACAUCAUAGAGGGUGAGAAUCCCGUAUUUGACCUUUACUUUCAACUUUGUGAUACACUUUCAAAGAGUCGGAUUGUUUGGGAAUGCAGUCCAAAAUGGGUGGUAAAUUUCAUCUAAAGCUAAAUAUUGGCGAGAGACCGAUAGCGAACAAGUACCGUGAGGGAAAGAUGAAAAGAACUUUGAAAAGAGAGUUAAACAGUACGUGAAAUUGUCAAAAGGGAAGCGUUUGACACCAGUGUUGUUUUUCUGAAAAUCAAUUAAAGAACUGUUUAUGCUAAGCUGUUUAGACUUUAUCAGCUAACUGUUUAGUUUUGAGCUUUUCUUUAAUGCACUUUUCAGUUAACAAGUCAACAUCAAUUUCUUUUGCUGUAAAAAAGCUUGAGGAAGGCGGCUUGAGAUUCGUCUUAAGUGUUUAUAGCCUCUUGCCUAUGCAGUCGGAGAGAUUGAGGUCAUGCAGCGUAGAUCCUUCGGGGCUAAAUGCAUUUGUGCUAAGUUAUAGCAUUUUAUAGACAACUUGUUGACUAUGAUUUGUCUUGUAGCUUACUCGCUUAUGUUAUUUUACCUACGCUUAGGAUGUUGAGUCAUCACACAUCUCU
rnacentral:rRNA from 1 species